ensembl:lncRNA
GUGGCUGUUGUGUAUGUGGCUGUAGUGUUUAUGUGUGUGUGUGUGUGUGGCUGUUGUGUAGUGUUGUGUAGUGCUGUUGUGUAGUGUUGUGUAUGUGGCUGUUGUGUGUGUAUGUGUUGUGUAUGUGGCUGUUGUGUAUGUGGCUGUUGUGUAGUUGGCUGUUGUGUGUGUGUGUAGGGUUGUGUAGUGGUGUGUGUGUGGCUGUUGUGUGUGUGGCUGUUGUGUAUGUGGCUGUUGUGUGUGUGGCUGUUGUGUAUGUGGCUGUUGUGUAGGGGUGUGUAGUUGGCUGUUGUGUAGUUGACUGUUGUGUAUGUGGCUGUUGUGUAGUUUUGUGUAGUUGGCUGUUGUGUAGUUGGCUGUUGUGUAGUUGUGUGUAGUUGGCUGUUGUGUAGUUGACUGUUGUGUAUGUGGCUGUUGUGUAUGUGGCUGUUGUGUAGGUGUGUGUAGUUGUGUACGUGGCUGUUGUGUAGUUGUGUGUGUAGGUGUGUGUGUCUGUUGUGUAGUGUUGUGUGUGUGGCUGUUGUGUAGUGUUGUGUAGUGUUGUGUAUGUGUCUGUUGUGUAUGUGGCUGUUGUGUAGUGCUGUUGUGUAGUUGGCUGUUGUGUAGUGUUGUGUAGUGUUGUGUAUGUGGCUGUUGUGUAUGUGUCUGUUGUGUGUGUGGCUGUUGUGUGUGUGGCUGUUGUGUGUGUGGCUGUUGUGUGUGUGGCUGUUGUGUAUGUGUCUGUUGUGUAUGUGGCUGUUGUGUAGUGUUGUGUAGUGUUGUGUGUGUGGCUGUUGUGUGUGUGUGGCUGUUGUGUAGGGUGUGUAGUUGGCUGUUGUGUAGUGUUGUGUGUGUGGCUGUUGUGUAGUGUUGUGUAGGUGGCUGUUGUGUAGUUGUGUAUGUGGCUGUUGUGUGUGUGUGGCUGUUGUGUAGGGCGUGUAGUUGGCUGUUGUGUAGGGUUGUGUAGGUGGCUGUUGUGUAGUAGUGUUGUGUAGUAGUGUUGUGUAUGUGACUGUUGUGUAUGUGGCUGUUGUGUGUGUGUGUGUUGUGUGUGUGUAGUGUUGUGUAGUGUUGUGUAUGUGUCUGUUGUGUAGGUGGCUGUUGUGUAGUGGUGUGUAUGUGGCUGUUGUGUAUGUGGCUGUUGUGUAGGUGUGUGUGUGUGUGUGUGUGUGUAUGUGUGUGUGUGUAUGUAGGUGUUGCGUAGGUGGCUCUUCCCAAAUUCGGUGGAAGGGAGGUAGAAUGGAGACGACCGCUGACACU